AAUCCUACUAUAAGGCUCAAAACAAUGAAAUAGGCAUGGGCAAUAAUUGAAAUUGAGCUUAAGUUAAUAGAUUCAAUUUCCCCGAAAUGCUACUCCAAUUUAUUUAUUGCUACUCAUUGUUCCUUUAACAAGUCAAUCAUUGAUAUUGACAAGUUAUUUUUAAAAUGAUUGCAUAGGUUAAGGAAAAACGUGCUGACUUAGAAAAGUUAAAGGGCACUUUUGUUUGUGGGGCUUCAGGGAUCUUAAGGAAAUAUUUUGGCAGUUUAGUAGAUUUUAUGAUAAGCGACAAGAGUCAUUUUUCACAGUGAGGACAGUUGAAGAGGCCUGAUCAUGCAGAUCUGAGGUACAAAUGUCGGACCUAUGCAUGGCUUAAAUUUUGAUAUUUAAAUCUCAGUUGAUGCGGCAGGAUUUGUGAGUCAGUUAAUUGAUGAUUUGGAGUCCAGAAUUUCAAUGCAGUUUGGCAGGUUUGUUGAAGAAGCUUGCCAUCAGAUAGAGAGAAAUGAGCUUAAUGUCUGACAAAUGGGACAGCUAUCUUAUAUCCAAAGGUUUGCUAUGCUUGCAACAAGGAUGGAGCAAUACAUCCAGGGCAAUCGAGGGAUUUGGUUGAUCAAUCAUAGGGGAAAAUUGUGAGAAUGAGAAACAAUGUCCCCACUUUAGCUUAGAGUUUAAUCAGCUUGCUGACCUCACUUAACAAUGCCAUCCUGACUAAUUUCUGAACUCCUAACUUUCCAAUGACAGCUGAAGAGUUCCUCUAGGUUUUUUUUUUAAAUUAAUUUUUUAUAAGUUGAUGAAAAGGAUGCUAAUGAUAUUGGAACAGUUAAGCAUGAUAUUUUUGCGACAUUGGUAAAGAUUGCUCAAGCAGACCCAAAAUAUGCUGACAUUUUACUUCUAGAGAAUUAUGCAGCUUUUCAGAACAGCCUUUAUGAUUUGGCCAAUGUAGUACCAACACUUGCAAAGUUCUAUCACCAGGCUAGUGAAUCAUACGAGCAAGCUUGUACACGCCAUAUCAGCAUGAUCAUUUACGUUCAAUUUGAAAAAUUAUUCCAGUUUGCUCAGAAAAUAGAAGAUUUGAUGUACACAAUCACACCUGAGGAGGUAAUUA